rnacentral:rRNA from 1 species
UGGGUAAUCUGCCCUCGAUUCUGGGAUAGCCCGGGGAAACCCGGAUUAAUACCGGAUAGCCUUUCGAGCUUACGAGCUCGUGAGGAAAGGUAGCUUCGGCCUCCGAUCGAGGAUGAGCCCGCGGCGGAUUAGCUUGUUGGUGGGGUAAUGGCCUACCAAGGCAACGAUCCGUAGCUGGUCUGAGAGGACGAUCAGCCACACUGGGACUGAGACACGGCCCAGACUCCUACGGGAGGNAG